rnacentral:rRNA from 1 species
AGAAUCAACGCUGGCGGCGCGCCUAACACAUGCAAGUCGAACGAGAAAGCCGCAAGGCAAGUAAAGUGGCGUACGGGUGAGUAACACGUGGAUUAUCUGCCCUCUAGUGGGGAAUACCGUUGGGAAACCGACGACAAUACCGCAUAAGCUCGAGAGAGGAAAGCAGCAAUGCGCUGGAGGAGGAGUCCGCGGUCGAUUAGUUAGUUGGCAGGGUAAAAGCCUACCAAGACUGUGAUCGAUA